rnacentral:rRNA from 1 species
GAUGAACGCUGGCGGCGUGCCUAAUACAUGCAAGUCGAGCGAACAGACGAGGAGCUUGCUCCUCUGACGUUAGCGGCGGACGGGUGAGUAACACGUGGAUAACCUACCUAUAAGACUGGGAUAACUUCGGGAAACCGGAGCUAAUACCGGAUAAUAUAUUGAACCGCGUGGUUCAAUAGUGAAAGGCGGUUUUGCUGUCAAUUAUAGAUGGAUCCGCGCCGCAUUAGCUAGUUGGUAAGGUAACGGCUUACCAAGGCGACGAUGCGUAGCCGGCCUGAGAGGGUGAUCGGCCACACUGGAACUGAGACACGGUCCAGACUCCUACGGGAGGCAGCAGUAGGGAAUCUUCCGCAAUGGGCGAAAGCCUGACGGAGCAACGCCGCGUGAGUGAUGAAGGUCUUCGGAUCGUAAAACUCUGUUAUUAGGGAAGAACAAAUGUGUAAGUAACUAUGCACGUCUUGACGGUACCUAAUCAGAAAGCCACGGCUAACUACGUG